rnacentral:rRNA from 1 species
UACGGAGGGUGCAAGCGUUAUCCGGAUUCACUGGGUUUAAAGGGUGCGUAGGCGGGCUGGCAAGUCCGUGGUGAAAUCUCCGAGCUUAACUCGGAAACUGCCGUGGAUACUAUCAAUCUUGAAUAUCGUGGAGGUAAGCGGAAUAUGUCAUGUAGCGGUGAAAUGCUUAGAUAUGACAUAGAACACCAAUUGCGUAGGCAGCUUACUACACGAUCAUUGACGCUGAGGCACGAAAGCGUGGGGAGCAAACAGG